rnacentral:rRNA from 1 species
GAGUUUGAUCGUGGCUCAGAACGAACGCUGGCGGCGUGCCUAACACAUGCAAGUCGAACGUGAAAGUCCUUCGGGAUGAGUAAAGUAGGCGCACGGGUGAGUAACACGUAGGUAACCUGCCUCAAAGACUGGGAUAACUUUCCGAAAGGAAUGCUAAUACCAGAUAAGACCACGAUUUUUAAAUUUAUUGGGGUCAAAGGGCGCUUUCGGGUGUCGCUUUGAGAUGGGCCUGCGGUACAUUAGCUAGAUGGUGGGGUAACGGCCUACCAUGGCAACGAUGUAUAGCUGGUCUGAGAGGACGAUCAGCCACACUGGAACUGAGACACGGUCCAGACUCCUACGGGAGGCAGCAGUGGGGAAUAUUGGACAAUGGGGGAAACCCUGAGUCCAGCAACGCCGCGUGAGUGAUGAAGGCCUU